AACGAACGCUGGCGGCAUGCCUAACACAUGCAAGUCGAACGAGACCUUCGGGUCUAGUGGCGCACGGGUGCGUAACGCGUGGGAACCUGCCCUUAGGUUCGGAAUAACUCCCCGAAAGGGGUGCUAAUACCGGCUAAUGUCUUCGGACCAAAGAUUUAUCGCCUGUGGAUGGGCCCGCGUUGGAUUAGCUAGUUGGUAGGGUAAAAGCCUAUCACGGCGACGAUCCAUAGCUGGUCUGAGAGGAUGAUCCGCCACACUGGGACUGAGACACGGCCCAGACUCCUACGGGAGGCAGCAGUGGGGAAUAUUGGACAAGGGGCGAAAGCCUGAUCCAGCAAUGCCGCGUGAGUGAUGAAGGCCUUAGGGUUGUAAAGCUCUUUUACCCGGGAUGAUAAUGACAGUACCGGGAGAAUAAGCUCCGGCUAACUCCGUG
rnacentral:rRNA from 1 species